GCAGUCGCCGCGGUAAUACAGAGGGUGCGAGCGUUAAUCGGAUUUACUGGGCGUAAAGCGUGCGUAGGCGGCUUCUUAAGUCGGAUGUGAAAUCCCUGAGCUUAACUUAGGAAUUGCAUUCGAUACUGGGAAGCUAGAGUAUGGGAGAGGAUGGUAGAAUUCCAGGUGUAGCGGUGAAAUGCGUAGAGAUCUGGAGGAAUACCGAUGGCGAAGGCAGCCAUCUGGCCUAAUACUGACGCUGAGGUACGAAAGCAUGGGGAGCAAACAGGAUUAGAUACCCCAGUAGUCCCUGUCUCUUAUAC
rnacentral:rRNA from 1 species